GUGCAGCAGGCGCGAAUCCUCCGCAAUACACGAAAGUGUGACGGGCCAUCCCGAGUGCCGUCCGCUGAGGACGGCUUUUCCCCAGUGUACACAGCUGGGGGAAUAAGGAGAGGGCAAGCCUGGUGUCAGCCGCCGCGGUAAUACCAGCUCUCCGAGUGGUGGGGACGCUUAUUGGGCCUAAAGCAUCCGUAGCCGGUCUGGUCAAGU
rnacentral:rRNA from 1 species